UAAUGAGGCUGAGUGUUCGAAAUGCC
rnacentral:piRNA from 1 species